UGUAUAAUUUUUCACACACUUUUUCAUCACCUACCUCCUGAGACAGACCGAGCUGACCCGUGGAUGGACAUCCCCUGGUUCUCCAUUCAGACCAUGGCAACUUAGGAUGGACAUCAACUGUAUAACGAUGCGAUUCGCAGUCGGGCUGCUGCCCGGGGCCGGCGUGUUGUGCGCCGAAGCACAAGCGCUGGCUGACGGUGGAGUUUGAGUACGAGCAACGCAAGCCAGGCCAGCGCCAGCGCGGCGAGCACGGUUGGCAAAAUGUCACCCUUGAGGAGCACACUGAGUGCAACUGCAUCCCUUGCCAAUACCUCAGGCCUCCCAUCACCUGAUCAAAGCUGAGCAGAACUACCGCCAAAAAUUACGUCAUCAAUUCUCAAACUGAACUUGGGACUAUUAUAUUAUCUUCCACGAGCUUUGAAAAAUAAAAUUGAACAGAACUUGAUACCGUACUCCAGGUUGUGAUACAAUAAAAUUUUCUUGUUCAGCUCAAGUUCUAAAAAUAGGCUACUAUUGACUCUUCUGGAUGAAAAGUACUCGAUCUGAUCAUUUUUUAGUAUCUGAAGUUCAUUAAUUUUCAGUAAAUAAUUUCAAUUCAUUUAUAAAAAUACGGAAUACUGUUAUUUCUGUUAUUGGUUUGUAUUGUAAAUAAAUUUCAAAGUUUCCAUUGUU
rnacentral:misc_RNA from 1 species